GUCUCCGUACCUUCCGUUCCCUUUCUCCCAUUCGCACGCCGCCCCGUGCCGUCCUCCUCCCAGAUCUCGUGGUCUCGUGGCCGUCGCCAUUCCCCCCCGCUCCGCUACACGCCGAGCGCACCGAUUGCAAAUCAGUCGUCUCCGCUGCUCCUCGCCCUCGCCCCGCCCGCGGCGUGGUGAGGAGAGGAGAUCCCCCCUGAGGUUGUACGAGACGGUGCUUCAGGACCGCCCUCUGGCGCGGAGGACGCAUAAGCUCGGCGGCGGCGGCGGCGACAUGAAGGGCUCGACCAUCCCUUCGGUCGCGAUCAUGCCCUCGCCGCUCUUCCUCUGGCGGUUUAAGGCUUGCAGCUAGGCAGUCAAAGCUGUCAAAGGCUAAGAGGCACAUGCAACCUAUUUGUAGAUCGAGGAGUUGCUCUAUUACACAAAGGACAUUGUAGCGACCUUAAUAACUUAUGGAGAGUUAGUUAGGAAGAAUGACCAGUCAGGCUGAACUUUUCUGAACAUUUACUUCCACCCAGUCUUUGGGGAAAUUGUCUGUAACUUUGACAGCAAAAUUACGUUAUGAGCUUCUGUUUGUGUUCUCCUGUAACUUAGUGUUGAGUUACCUCUAAAGGGAGGAAUAUGUUAGCUUGU
rnacentral:lncRNA from 1 species